rnacentral:rRNA from 1 species
GACGAGCCACACGAACGUUAUUCGGAAUUACUGGGCGUAAAGGGCGCGUAGGCGGCCGCCUAAGUCAGACGUGAAAUCCCUCGGCUCAACCGGGGAACUGCGUCUGAUACUGGGUGGCUUGAAUUCGGGAGAGGGAUGCGGAAUUCCAGGUGUAGCGGUGAAAUGCGUAGAUAUCUGGAGGAACACCGGUGGCGAAGGCGGCAUCCUGGACCGGUAUUGACGCUGAGGCGCGAAAGCCAGGGGAGCAAACGGG